rnacentral:rRNA from 1 species
AUAUCACUAAGCGGAGGAAAAGAAAUUAACUAAGAUUGCCUCAGUAACGGCGAGUGAAGCGGCAAAAGCCCAAACUGGUAAUCUUCGCCUUUCAGGCGACGAAUUGUAAUCUAAAGGUGGGAAACUCAACUAGCGGUGACGCAGAAGUGACCUAGAAUGGUCCGCCAGAGAGGGUGACAGCCCCGUAUGUGGUGUCGCUGCUAAACGAGUUCCUUUCGAAGAGUCGGGUUGUUUUGAAUUGCAGCCCUAAGCUGGAGAUAGACUUCUUCUAAGGCUAAAUAUAUAUGGGAGACCGAUAGCGCACAAGUA